rnacentral:lncRNA from 1 species
UUUGUUUCCUUGCAGGUGAAGAUCGCGGAGAUGCGAUGCUUGGCUUGCGGCGCUGUUGAAACCCUAGGGUUUCUAACAGUAAUUUGGGCCACUGUAGUUUGGACCAUUGUUAUUGUAUUUUUGGUUUGGGUUUUGGGCCCAAAAUACUGUUGUAUUUGGACUGUUUUGCUUCAUGUAGGCCGGGCAAAUUUGGCCAAUUACAGUUGCCCCUCUUUGCUCGUUAUCGUGUAACGGGAACGGAGCAAAGACUUUAGAAAUGGCCAAUUUUUACCCAGUCGUGUUGGAACUUGGUACUCUUCUUCUUUAGGUAGCCUUAUUCCUUCCUACUGCAUCUUCAGAGGUAUAGGAACUAGUGCUUCAAUCUACUCUACUGCAAUGCCAAGGAGAUAGGAUUUGUUUAUUUAGUCUGCCCCACUGCAAUUUCAGGGGGAUAAUACUUGCUUUCUUGAAUCUGCUCCACUGCAAUUUCAAUGAGAUAAGACCCGAUGCGAUCUACUCUACUGCAACUUCAGAGAGAUAAGAUCUAUGAUUUUAAUCCGCUCCACUGCAACUUCAGGAAGAUAGGAUUAUAGGCUUUAAUCUGCUCCACUGCAACUUCAAGGAGACAAGAUUUAUAUAUUCGAUCUACUUCAUGCCAAUACAUGAAGACAAUAUCUGUCAUCUUCGAUCUACUUCACGCCAAUACAUGAAGACAAGAUCUGCUACCUUUGAUCUACUUCAUGCUGAUACAUGAAGACAAGAUCUUCUACCCUUGAUCUACUUCAUACCGAUACAUGAAGACAAGAUCCGUUUUCUUCGAUCUACUUCACGCCAAUACAUGAAGAAAAGAUCUUCUGCCUUUGAUCUACUUCAUGUCGAUACAUGAAGAUAAGAUUCGUUUUCUUCGAUCUACUUCACGCUAAUACAUGAAGACAAGAUCUACUACCUUUGAUCUACUUCACGCCGAUACAUGAAGACAAGAUCAGCUUUCUUCGAUCUACUUCGCCACCAGUAUGGGAAGACAAGAUCUGCUAUCUUCAAUCCACUUCACUACCAAUAUAGGAAGAUAGGAUUUGCUUUCUUCGAUCUACUUCACGCCAAUACAUGAAGACAAGAUCUGCUUUCUUUAAUCUACUUCGCCACCAAUAUGAGAAGACAAGAUCUUCGAUCCACUUCCUACCAAUAUAGGAAGACAGGAUCUGUUAUCUUCGAUUUACUUCACGCCAAUACAUGAAGACAAGAUCUAUUUUUUUGAUCUACUUCGCCACCAGUAUGGGAAGACAAGAUCUGCACCUUCAAUCUACUUCCUACCAAUACAAGAAGACAGGACCUGCUAUCUUCAAUCUACUUCACGCCAAUACAUGAAGAUAAGAUCUGCUAUUUUUAACCUACUCCACUGCUGCUUAGGGAGAUAAGGCCGGUGUCUUUGAUCUGUUUCACUGCCGGUACAGGAAGACAAAAUCUGCUAUUUUCACUGAUCAGUUCUCUAGGGAACAUGACCUGUAUAAUGCAUUUUAUGAACCUAAUUAUGCCUAGAGAUUAGGAUGCCAUGAUCAGAAUGAAUCAAAUACUCCUAACUAGACAUGUAUGCCUGAUGUUUGCAUGAAUGCCGAGUUUUUUUUUUAAGAAUGAUCAUUUUUAAUGCUUAGGUUUUCAUUGCUCGCUGUUCAUUAAGACUUUAACGUCAACACAUCAGAACGCCAUUUUAUUCGACUGGUAUUUCUAAAGAAAUACCCACAUAUUGCCCCCACUGUAAUCCUCUAGAUUCAAUCCACUAGGACAUAAAAUUCGUUGUCAUUUUCUCCCACUGUAAUCCAAUGGUAGAAAUAUAUGGCUUUUCCUCAAUCUUAUCCUAUCACAAUUCAAAGAUGCAGAUCAUGAAACUAUUUUACAUCAUUCCCAGGGUGUCAUACCAAAUGCUCAUGCACAAAUGAAAAGUUCUCUUUCCAUAGGGGACUUCUACCUACUCCUUGGUGAUUGAAGCUUUGUCACUAAUCAAGACUUCUUGCCAUCUCAUUUGAUAUUUAGACAACCAAAUCCGAAAAAGCAGCCUUAAUUUAGACUUUUCCCUUAUUAGGCUUUUGAACUUUUAAACUCGGUGUGUUCUAGACAAUAGUCAUGUUUCAAGUUACUAAAUUAUUUAGAAAUUCCCGGAGUAAUAUGCAAAACUUCUUUUGUGAAAGUUUAUUAGUCCAUCAAUCAUUAUUUUAAUGCGACAUGUUUUCAAAAAUAAUGACUAGGGCAUAACUCAAAAAAUAGAAAAGGAAUUUAUUGAUAGCAAGUGUCUUGAAAUGAAAAAGAUAUUCAAGAACAAUGAAGAAUAAAUUAUUACAAGAACAAACAAAUUCUGUAUAAGUAAUAUGACGGCUAGGUGCCUUGGAUAUCACAGCUUGAACUUUUCUGUGCAAACUAAGAAUCGUUUUGAAUUUAACAUGUGUUUAGGAGAUCCACAGUACUUUGUCGAUACCCCAAGAUGUCGCAUAUCCUUUUCCUGUCGAUUUGGGUAUAGUAAGAUCACCACAUGCCCCAAUCUGAUCAAUGUUUGGGCUGCCCUUUUCAGGUUUUCAACCCAAAUCCCCUUUGGUCUCAAGGCACCCUUUGCAGGUUUUCACAUUGGCCUCUCCAUUUUUUUUAAAACGCCCUUUGCGGGUUUUCACUUUGAUCCCACCCCACUCUUAAGGUGAAAUAUUUCUUGACAGAAUCUAAAUUUAUAGGAUUCAGUAAAUUUUUACCAUCCAUCUCACUCAAAAUCAAAGCUCCUCCGGAAAAAGCUUUUUUUACAACAUAAGGUUUUUCCCAAUUCGGCAUCCAUUUCCCUCUGAAAUCUUUCUGCAAAGGGAGAAUCUUUUUCAGCACCAAGUCUCCCUCAUAAAAUUCUCUAGGACAAACCUUCUUAUUAUAAGCUUGCAUCAUUCGCUUCUGAUACAUUUGACCGUGACGAAUAGCUUUUAGUCUUUUCUCUUCUAUCAGAUUCAACUAAUCAUAUCGAGAUUGGAUCCAUUCGGCCUCAUCUAGUUUUAGUUCAGCCAAUACCCAGAGAGAAGGAAUUUCAACCUCAAUAGGUAAAACUGCCUCCAUUCCAUAAACCAAAGAAAAAGGCGUUGCUCUAGUAGAAGUUCUGAUAAAUGUUCGAUAAGUAAGAAGAGCGGAUGGCAACUUCUCAUGACAGUCCUUAUAAGUUUCAGUCAUUUUCCCCACAAUCUUCUUGAUGUUUUUGUUGGCCGCCUCCACUGCACCGUUCAUUUUUGGGCGAUAUGGUGAUGAAUUAUGGUGUCUAAUAUUGAACUGAUUGCAGACUUCCGCUAUUGUGUUGUUGUUCAAAUUCAGUGCAUUGUCAAAUAUGAUCCUUUCAGGCAUUUCAUAUCGACAUAUAAUCUCUUUUUUCAAAAACUUUCUGACUGCUGACUUCGUGACAUUUACGUACGAGGCUACUUCUGCCCACUUAGUGAAAUAAUCAAUAACUACAAAAAUGAAACGAUGCCCAUUAGAAGCCUUCGGUGAUAUUGGCCCAAUGACAUCCAUACCCCACAUGGAGAGAGGCCAUGGAGAGGUCAUAACAUGAAAAGGUGCAGGAGGUGCAUGCAUUUUAUCCUCAUAAAUUUGGCAUUUAUGACACUUAUUGGCAUAAUUGAUGCAAUCUCUUUCCAUAAUGGACCAAUAAUAUCUGAAUCUCAUGAUCUGUCUAGCCAUGGUGAAUUCAUUGGCGUGUGUUCCACAAACAUCCUCAUGGACUUCUUCUAAGAUUUCCUUAGCCUCUACAGCAUCCAUGCAUCUCAACAGUACUCGAUCCUUUCCCCUCUUGUAUAGAAUCUCUCCAUCUAAGACAUAGUCAAUAGCUAGUCUCCUCAAUGUCCUCUUAUCAUUCUCCGUUGCUUAAUUAGGAUAUUUGCGAUCCUUCACGUAUUGCAAUAUAUCUUGGUACCAAGGGAAAUUAUCAUUCUCCACCUCUUCAAUGCUGUAGCAAUGGGUCGGGAUCUCAUAAAUACUGAUUUGAAUGGACUUCAUGUCUUCUAAUUUAUUCACUUUAAUUAUGGAGGCUAGUGUAGCCAGAGCAUCAGCUAUCUGAUUUUCUUCACGUGGGAGAUACCAGAAAGUGAUAUUGUCAAACUCUUCAAUCAAAUUCAGAACCAAUCUUCGAUAACGGAUUAACUUUGGGUCUCUCAUUUCCCAUUAUCCUUUUAGCUGGUAUAUUACCAAUACCGAGUCCCCAUAUACUUCUAGUGUCUUAAUUUUCCGCUCUAUGGCUGCCCGGAUACCCAUAAUGCAAGCUUCAUAUUCAGCCAUGUUAUUGGAGCAAUCAAAGUCUAACUUACUGGUGAAAGGAUGAUGAUCCCCAUUUGGAGAUACCAAGAUUGCCCCAAUCCCAUUGCCCAACGCAUUUGAAGCUCCGUCAAAGUUCAUCCUCCAAGAAUGAUUUUUUUGAGAAUCCUCCUCAGAAUUUCCUAUAUCCAUCAAGUCUUCAUUCGGGAAGUCAAAGUCCAGAGGCUCAUAGUCUUCUAAAGCUCUACUAGCCAAGAAAUCUGCUAUUGCACUCCCUUUGAUGGCCUUCUGACUUACAUAUACCAUAUCAAAUUCGGAGAGUAAGAUUUUUCAUCUAGUCAUUCUCCCAUUCAGCGCUGUGGACUCCAUCGUAUACUUUAAAGGGUCUAAUUUUGAAAUUAACCAAGUCGUAUGAUAGAGUAAGUAUUGCCUCAACCUCUUUGUCGCCCAAAUCAAGCAACAAUAUAAUUUUUCGAUAGACAAAUAUCUCAUCUCGCAGUCAGUGAAUUUCUAACUGAGAUAGUAUAUCGCAUUUUCCUUCUUUCCAGUCGCAUCAUGUUGACCCAACACAUAUCUCAUGGAAUUGUCGAACACCAUUAAAUAUAAAAUCAAUGGUCUAUCUGGGCUAGGUGGUGAUAGAACUGGAGUAUUGGAUAGGUACUACUUUAUAUUUUCAAAAGCUUCCUAGCAUUCUUUAUUCCAAACCCCUGGAUUAUGUUUCUUCAAAAGACGAAAUAUAGGAUCACAUUUCUCGGUCAACUGUGAAAUGAACAGAACAAUUUAAUUUAGUCUUCCUAAGAAACCUCGUAAUUCUUUCUGAGUACGUGGUGGCGAUAAAUUCCGUAUUGCCCUAACUUUGUCUAGGUCAAUCUUAAUUUCUUUCUCACUGACUACGAAGCCCAACAACUUUCCUGACCUGGCUCCAAAAGUGCAUUUUGUUAGAUUGAGUUUGAGCUGAAACUUUCUUAGUCUUAGGAACAACUUCCUCAAGACCUGCACAUGUUUCUCCUCUGUUCUGGAUUUGGCAAUCAUAUCAUCAACAUAAACCUCAAUCUCCUUGUGCAUCACGUCAUGAGAUAAGGCUACCAUGGCUUUUUAAUAUGUUGCUCCCGCAUUCUUUAACCCAAAGGGCAUCACUUUAUAGCAGAAUGUUCCUCACAAAGUAAUGAACGUGGUCUUUCUCAUAUCUUCAGAAUGCAUCUUUAUCUGAUUAUAUCCUGAGAACCCAUCCAUGAAAGAAACCAGUGAAUAUCCCUCCGUAUUAUCUACCAACGUGUCAAUAUGCGGUAAUAGAAAAUUGUCUUUUGGGCUAGCCUUGUUUAAAUCUCUGUAAUCUACGCACAUUCGUACUUUUCCAUCUUUUUUCGGGACUGGAACGAUGUUGGCUACCCAUUUAGAAUAUUUGACUUCCUGUAAAAACCCAACUUCAAACUGCUUUUUGACCUCCUCUUUUAUCUUAAGCACAAUAGCAGGUCUCAUUCUUCUGAGCCUUUCCUGAACUGGCUUACAAUCCUCACUUAUAGGUAAACAAUGCACUACAAUGUCCGUGCUUAAUCCAGGCAUAUCUUGGUAUGACCAUGCGAAGACAUCUUUGAAUUCCUGGAGUAAUUCGACAAGGUCUCGUCUUGUUUUUGCGGAAAUCUCUAUUCCAAUUUUCACCUCUUUCCCUUCUUCUAAGCUCACAGUUUCUAUUGUUUCUUUGUGAGGCAAGAUCUAUUUCUCUUCCUGUUCUACCAUCCUCAACAAGUCCAAGGAUAAACCACAAUCUACAUCACCUUCAAAGUCAUGCGAUCCAUCUAAACACAUGUUUCGUUCAAAAGGAAACUCUAAGUUUGUAGCGGCGUCAUUCACGUCAUUGAUAUACAAUGACCUAAUAUGGUUACAAAAGAAUGUAUGAAUUUAUGUACCAUUAUUUGUGCAAUAUGAUUAUGAAAGAAUAAUUAAUCUAUUUACUUAUAUGGAAAGAAUAAAAGAAUAUUUGCUUGAAACAAUUGCAAAGAUGUAUUUUAUUAAAAUAAUGAUAUCUGAACAUAAGCCUUUUUCACAAAGGAGUUCUUAUUAUUUCAAGGCUAAAAUAACAAGUUUGUUCUGAACAUUACUCUGAGAGAGUUCUAAAGACUUCAGGUAUUUAUUCCACAGUCCAAUUAUCUAGAACACUCCCAGGUUCAAAAGGACAAAUGUCUGACAAACUUCCUUCUUCCUUUGUACCCUCACAAAUGGCAUUAAUGUGCACAUUUUUCAGUGUCUCCUCGAUGCUUUCCUCAGUUGAUAUCCUUCUCUCAAAAUGAAUAAUACCCCCAGACACGAAGGUUUUAUAUAUGUGGGGAAUUAUCAUUGGCUCCCAUUUGACUUCCUCCCCAUUUAAACGCGCUCUUCUUCUUUCUUGCCUUCUUUCCAGCUCAUUUCUUCUCUGUCCUCUAUCUGGCUUGUACCCUAAACCAAAGUUGUCUUAUUUUUCAUUUAGCACCGAAACCCCAACCUUCCCUUGAAGUUAUUUCCCUAAUCAUCUUCUGGGUAAAGCUCAUUUCCCCAACAACAAUUGCAAACUCAUCUCUGUAGUUCUGGAUAUUUUAGGUACCAGAAUUUUGCUCCCUUCAGGAACAAAUGUUGCAUUUACAAACUCCAGAGAUCGAAAAGAGCAUUCUACCGAUUCGCCAUUGGUCUCCACAUACGGCACCUCAUUGGAUACGGCCGCUAUAAUAUCCUCUUCAGCAUUUAUCAUCACCAACCGACCUUCUGACACCAUCUUUAAUUUCUAAUGUAACAAUGAAGGUACAGCCCCCGCCGAAUGUAUCCAUGGUCUCCGUAGUAAGAAAUUGUAGGAUGGUUCAAUGUCCAUCACAAGAAAAUCCACCUCAUAAAUCGUUGGGCCAAUCAAUAAAGGUAUCUCAAUUCUUCUCAUAACUUUUGUUUCUGUACCAUCAAACGCCUUCACUAUUUUUUGGCAUGUUUUCAUGUGCGAGCUGUCUAUGGGAAGCCUGUUAAGUGUGAAUAAUGGCAACACAUUCAAAGCUGAUCCAUUGUCAAUCAACACUUCUGGCAAAGUAUACCCCUUGCAUUGUGUAGUGAUAUGCAAAGCCUUGGUAGACCCCAUGCCCCUAGGUGGUAUCUCAUCAUCAGUGAAGAAUAUGAAGUUAUCAGCACUGAUAUUAUUGACCAAACGAUUCAAUUUAUUGACAGAAAUAUCAUUGGCUACAUAGGUUUCAUUCAACACCUUCAUCAACGCACUACGGUGUACUUCAAAAUUCAAGAGCAAGGCUAGUACGGAUGUGCGAGUCGGCUGUUUGUGCAACUGUUCGACCACAUUAUUCUUACUAUGCUUCAAAAAUUUGAGGAACUCCAUAGCUUCUUCCUCCUUCACUGGCUUAUUGAUAGAUAGCACAGGCUUAACUACUUUCAUUUUUUGUUCCACUGCUAUGGCCUUUCCUUUCACAGGUUUUGGAUCGGUACUCACACAUUGGUCCUUUGCAGUCUCCUUUUCAGGGACAGUUGUAUUGCACUCAUAGUUCCACAAAACCCUCUUACUAUCUUGCUAAGAAAAGGUUGUAGGUUUCUUUAUUAUAAUCCUUGGUGUUACUGGCAUUCUCACUUCAUUAUUCUUUGGUUGCGAAAUGAUGACCACCGGCUGCGCUACUCUUGAAACCUUCGUGGAUUCGGAUGUGCAAAUACUCCCUUCCUCCUUAACUUCUUCGUAAAACUCCAUUUCCUUGUUAUCCAUCAUGCCUUGAACCAAAGCUCUGAGUUCUGUACAUUCUUGAAUCUCAUAUCCCUCCUCAUGAUGGAACUCACAGUAGUUUUCCACCCCUUCAAAGCUUCUCUCUGAAACAAAUAAUCCAUUUUCUACCAUCUUCCUCCAGACCCAUCUCAAAGGAAUUUUCACUUCUGCAAUAUCUUCCUUGAUUUUCCUUCCCAUGCUCCCACCUAUCAUGUUUACUCCAUUAUGAUUAGGUAAUGGAUUCUCUGUCUUAGGUGAAUCAUCCAAUUUAACAACGCCCAUACUUAUAAGUCUUUCAACCAGCUUUUUGAAUGUCGUACAAUGUUCUAUGGAAUGCCCUACGAUUCCCACAUGAUAAUCGCAUUGUGCGUUUACAUCGUACCACUUGGGGUACGGAGGCUGUAGAGGUUCUAAAUAAAAAGGAGAAACUACAUGUGCAUUGAAUAACUUUUGAUAUAACUCCCUAUACGACAUUGGAACGGGCGUAAAUUGGGGCUUUUCCUUGUUUUGCCUUGUGUCGGCUCCUUGUUUGUCAAUAACCACCUUUCUCGGCUGAUUCACCGUAAUCGUCUUUGAAUAACUGGUGUUAUUGACCUCGUUUUCCUUUUUCUUUGAGGCUGACCUUCUGCUACUUUCUCCAGCAUCUGUCUUCCCGCUUCUGAUAGCAUUUUCUAUCAUUUCACCAUUCAUAAUUAUGUCAGAAAAGCUUUUAGUAGCACUUCCUAACAUGUGCGUAAUAAAUGGGGCCUUCAAUGUGUUAACGAAAAGCAUUGUCAUUUCUCUUUCUAGAAGAGAUGGCUGAACCUGGACAGAAACCUCCCUCCACCUCUGUACAUAUUGCCUAAAACUCUCACCGGGUUUCUUCUUCAUGUUUUGUAGAGUAAUUCUAUCAGGUACCAUGUCGGUUACAUGACUGUGCUGUCUUAUGAAUGCCUGUGCCAAAUUUAUUCAUAUAGUCACCAACAAAGUCACGAAGAUCAAACACAAGAAUCUUUUUAUCAAGAACCAAAAUAGGUAGAUGAUCAAUAAACAAGAUAACACAGUCAAACAAAUCGCGAUUUAAGUGUUUUUCAAGAAUCAAUUCAACAACAUUAUCUUUGUCACCACCUAAAGAGAACAACGAUGUUUCAAAAAAUUCAUGAGCCUUACCUUUAAAAGUAGAAACACAAAUAUUAGUUUUACCUCAUUCAGUCAACACAAACCUUCGCUCCUCGGGGGUAUAUUGUAGUCGAAGGUUUUCAAUUUGACUCUCCAUCUUUGGCGGUUGAGAGAACAAAGGAAUCAAGCUCAAAUUACAUCCAAAAUAAAUGAAAAAAUCAUUCAAUCGGUCAUGCAUCCAAAGUCUUAUUUGAUCAGAACUUGCAUAUCUCAAAUUAUCAAACAAUCUUGAUAUGUCAGUAUUGCAAACAAGUGAAUUCAAUCGGUUCAAAUGACAAAUAAUCAUGCAUGUUCGCACAUAAUCAAACUCAACAGUCCCUUUCCAUGCAUUUUCAACACGAUCAAUCUCAAAGAAAGAUUUAUAUGAGUUUUCAUAUUACGUAGUCAAAAAGUACCAUGGACGACGGACUACAAUUUCAUUUUUUUGCAGAUCAGCAUCUCAAUUUGUACUAACUUUAUUCUUGCAUUCAUCGCUCAAAACAUACACUUCAUGGCUAAUCAAAGAAAAACAAGUAAUUGCAUCAGUAUACAAAUAAUUUUCAAAGGUCAAAGCAUCAAUCAAAUUGUUCGCACCAAAUUUGGGAUGCUCAAAUUUCCCACAAAAUGAAUUAACAUAACAAAUUCCAGGUUUUAACUCACGAGUUUGAUCACUUAUUCCAUAGUGUAGUAAAAAUUUCAUUCUCACAGCAAUGCUUAUACCAAAGGGUUUCGUGUACAAAUAUAAAUGAUUCACAUAACCAUGAAAAACGAAUAAAUCAAACGUUUGAUGUGAAUACCUCCGAUCACGUAUGUCCAAAGUUUGCACAAUCUGGAUUAAUCCAAUGCCAUCAACAGAUUUUUCAACAUGAAACACAUCAAAUAAACAACUCUUCAUGCCUUCAUUUAAAAUAAAAUUAUCAUCAAAUAUCAAUGUAAUACAAUUAACCAAAGCAAAGUAAGGAGGUAUUUUGAAAACUAUGGCACCAGAAACUUUCUCAACAACAUCAAACAAAGAAUGACAAUUGGCCAUGUCAAGACAUGAAACCAUUUCAAAGACUAAGUCAUCAGCAAUAUUAUCACAAACGUUCAAGUGGGAUAAUGGGGACUUACACGGCAUAGGACCCUCAUCUCUCUUACCUUUAUGUGCCAGUGGACAAAGGUCUUCUAUGUUCUUACCUUUCUGAAUCAACUUGAAUCGCUUCUCAUCAGGAAAAUAUAGUAAUUGAAAAUCGUCACACGAAUCUUCAGGAAUCUGAAAAGAAGAAACAGAACAAUAACAAACUUCACGGGGGUUUGUUAAAAUUUCGUUCUCCUUUUCUUGUUCUCGCUCACUAUCUUCAUUUUCUCUCGUUUAUCCUUCAACAUCUUUCUCUUUUUUAAUUUUUUUCUCAAUCUCAAUUUCUUUUUCAAUUUUCUUUUCUUCAUUUUCUUUUUCUCUCACUUUUUCGACCUCUUUUUCUUUUGCAAUUUCUUUUCCUUUUUCACUUUCGUUUUCUUGUUGUUUUCUUUCAAUUUCUUUUUCCACUCUUUCUUUUUCUUCUCUUUCAAUUUCUUGUUCCUUUUCUUUCAUCUUUCUUCUCGAUUUUUCUUUACAAGAUGAAGAUAAAAUAAAAGAAUCAGAAUGAGAUAUUUUUCGUCGAGUAUGAUUGGAAUGAUUUAAAUAUGAUUCACAUUCACUCAUUCGUAAAUAAUCCUCCGUGGAUGAAUGCCUAGAUGCACUUGAAGAGAGAUAUCUUCUUUCUCGGUUAUCAUCUUGAAAAACCUCAUUCUCAAAACUUUCUUUUUUUCUACUCAAAUUCUUUGAUGAGUAGUAAUCUUGGUAUGGAUCUCUUCUUGAGUAGGAAUCAUGAAAAUCUCUUCUCACCAAGUUAUUGGAUGUUUUUCUCCACGAUGAUCUUAUUUUCGUCUCUUGACUUGAAGAGAUUCGCUCCCGGUGGAAUCGUUCAUCCAACUUUUUCAAUCGUUCUUUAAUUCGUUCCAAUUUUCUUUGAAGCAUUUGACCCAUCUCGUGAAUAAUUGUUUGAUAUGUUGGGUCGAUCAGAACAUCGUCAUAUUCUUCACCAUCAAUCCCUUCAAAACUUCUUGACAUCUUAUUUAAUCAUACAACAAAACUCACACUUCUCUCACAAAGAAAAUUCACACAAUUUGACUUUUACUUCUCUCGAAUGGUCUUACGAAUCGCUCUUGCCUUUUUCCACUCGAUUUUCGCCUCUCGAAGUUCUCCACAAACUAGGUCGACAAAUAAAUACCGUUUGGGGUCGGCUUACAAAAUUGAUUUGGCUUGGUAGGUAAUGAUGUUGAAAAUGGUAGGUCUGAUUCAGCUAGCUCUGAUACCAAAUGAUGCGAACCAGCCUCGGUUGAUUGAGUUGAGUCACUUUUGUUGCCCGAUCGUCUAACGAAGAAGUUUCGUUCGUCUUGAGUCAAAAGAAAUAUAUUCGUUUAAUGAAUAUGUUUAUGGUUCAAUUAAGGUUUAAAGGAAAUGGUGUGUAAUGUAUUUCGGCUAAGAAAGAAAGUAUUAUGUUGAAAAGGUAUGGGAUUUCGGUUUAAUGGAAAAUGGAUGGAUUGGCUUAAAAACAAGAAAGAACCAACACAAAGGGUGAGUGUUGACCCGAAUCUUAUAUGUUCUUAAGAUGGAAGAUGAAUGAAGUAAAAGGACCUCGACCCACUAUCUAUCAAAGAUAGGAACCUUGGUAUAGUUGAACGCCACACUUUGGUAUAAAGUGAUAAGUUCGGUUUGCAAAGAGCAGGGUUGAUGCCACUAACUAGUAGAUAAGCCAACGGAGUCUUUGGACAAAAUUGAGAGAAGAAAUCUCACCAAAAUAUUCAGAUUAAUUAUAAAAUUGGCAAAAAGUCCUUUUACAAAUGAACAAGCAAAUAUUUAUAUUGCAGCAUAAGCUAGCUGAAUAGACAUACUUAAAAGCUAAGAAAAAUCAAGAAAAUUCUAGAAAUAAUUCCCUUGAAAGAUUCGGCUGAAUGGGAGCUCCAAUAGGCAGCUUAAGCAUUAAGCAAAUGAACCUUGUAGAGAUGAAUGCACCGGUAGUCAAAUGGCCAUGUCUAGAUUCGGCCAGGCCUUUAAAUGACUCCUUGAAUUAGCACUUGUUGGCUGGAAAGAUAGGAGCAUUGAAUAGAGUCUUUGAACAGCCACACAAGUGUGAAAAGUCAGUUUUGGAGGGUCAAUUAUGUGUGAACAUCAUCAGCUGAUUAGUCCUUAGUGUGAAUGCUAAAAAUGAGUUGCAUGUAUAUGUUUAAAGAUGGCAAAUUCGGCUGAACAUUCAUUUGGGGUGCCAUGCAUGUACCGCCCAAAUGCAUUGAACCUAAGGUGCAUGCACCCAUGCCGUCCAAGGAAAAUUCCUGCACCAAAAUAAAUCAGCAAAUUAAUCAUGCAUCAAUCACAUUAAAUUCGGCAACAAGAUGAAUCUAAAAACCUGCAUAUAAAAUUCGGUGAACUAAUUAAAUGAGUUUAGGACAUAUUUAAGACACUAAAAUAAUUAAGACAUACUUAAUAACACUUAAUUAUUAUUUGAUCAGAAUUAAACUUAAUUAAUUAGCUUAACUAAUUUAACUAAUGACAACUUAAAUAAUUAUUCCAGCAAAAUAAAUAUAAACGCAAAUGGGCUUAAAAUUAAAUAAAUUGAAGUUCAAGCUCAAUGAGCUAGAAUCAGCUCGAUUGAGCUCCAUUGAGUCGGAACAAGCUAGUUCAGCUUGUAAGAGUUUACGAAUGGCGCCUGAUGAACUGAACCAAUGAUGUUUUCAGGGCAGGGUCGUAUCAGUGGUUAAUAAUUUUCAGAUAAAACCUAAUACGAAACCUUAUCCACCUUCCAAAAGUGACUGUGAAACCAUGUGAGUAGAAGUUGUGCACACCCAAUGAAUCUUCCUUCUCCCGCUUUUCGGCAUGCACUCAAUGACCUGAAAGUUUCUGCCAAAAUCGUCAGAAUUGGUGUAACCCCCUUAUCAAGCCGGUCGAAUAAGUCGGUGACUGCUUCAUCAACAUGCCCCAAGGCUUUGGGGAAAACAACCAAGCCAUAUAUACUUAGUGCAAAGACAUCUAACCUCUUCCUCACAUCUAGGUGUGUUAAAAUUGCAUCUUUCAAACUCCUUCAAGGAACGCACUUACUAUCCCCCUUUUGCUUAAUCCAUGUAGCAACCCACUGCUCACUCAUCCCUGUUAUACUCAUCAGCUUAUUCGAAAAAGUUGGCACAUUUAUCGUUCUCGAGUAGACCCUUUCCACUUGAAACUUUGAACAUCGAAGUAAAGCCACAUAUUCUUCUAUCGUAGGCACCAAAUCGACCUUCCCAAAUGUGAAGCAACUGUAAGCAGGAUUCCAAAACUGGGCGAGGGCUCGAAACAAAUGUUUGUCUACCUUCACGUCAAGCAAAUAAGGCAAAUCCCCAUAAAUAUCAUAAAAUAGUUGUCUAACCUCGUUAUUACACUGCUCCCAGAUUUCCUUUAACUCUUGCAAACUAUUUUGAAUUACACUAAUGCGAGUAAAGUCCCACAAUUCCGAUACAUACCCGUCAGCCAAACUAUCACCCUUUUCUUGUUGCGUUGUUUUAGACCAAGUUCGGACAGCCGCAUUAUCCUCCACUUUAUCAAGAAACCCUUUUUCCAUGAUAAGCUUUCUAUCUAGUAACUGAAUAUGAAUCGAUGCCUUUUAUGAGGAAAUGAAAUGUCAUGUCAUGUAAUCAAAAUAAAACAUAAAAAGUUAGUGCCAUCUAACAACAUAAAAUAUAAUCAAGAAAUAGUAAAACACCUAAUCGGAUAUCUAUUAGGGUUCAAUAUAGUUUUACCUAAGGUGGAUUCCUAAGGUUCACUAUAUGAAGUUCGGCUUCUAGGGCAAAGGUACCCGAACCAGCAGAUUUUUCGAUUUUCACCCAUUAUAGGCUCAUAUAGAUCAAGUUCGGUUCGGGGGAAUACAUUUUCCCUAUGACUAUACGGAGAUGAAAAUCUCAUGAAGGCAUAGGUAUCGAUGUACUCCGAAAGUGAUCCACUAUCCUAUGCGGAGGUGAAAAUCUCACGAAGGAAUAGUUUCUCACUCCCACUUAGAAGAGUAAAAUCAUUCGACUCAUGUAAUUCGUAAUGCAAACAAUAUUUAAAUCAAUCAAGCAAGAAAAUAAUGAAUGCAAAAGGAUCUUAUGAAUUUUUUUUAAAAAUAUUUUCUCGACCAUAAGAUAAAAAUUAAUCAACUUUGUGGCUCCACUCUCUUAGUUUUUUGAAAAAGUCCCCAGCAGAGUCACCAAGCUGUCGAAACCAUUCUUAUGAAAACAAAAAUUUAGUUGUCGACUUUAAAAAAAACAAAAAUUGGGAGUCGCCACCAAUCUUUUAUUGAGGUGUGAUUGGAUCACCCAAAAAAAUAGCUUUGGUCUACGAGUUUUAGAAAAUCGGAUUCGGGAGUCAAUUACGUACGUGGAAGGAUUGGCACCCUCAUAACGCCCAAAAAUUGGUAUCAAAUUGAUUAAUUAAUGUCUUCAAGUCGAGAGUUAAAAAAAAUGCGAUCCUUAAUUAAAUUAUUUAUUAAGACUUUCUCAUUUUGAAAAAAAAAUAUCACACCCAAUGCGUUAGGGCAUAACAUUUUAUUCUCUUCAAGAUGAGUUAGUCCAGAAAACUCGUGUAAUAAAAUUUAAGAAAAUAUCUAAUUGUUUAAAAUUUAUGAAGAAAUUGCAGCCCAAUACGUUAGGGCACAAUUUCCUAAAAUCCCAAACAUUCAAUAUUUCCUUUAUUUUUCUUAAAAUAUCCUUGUCUCGAGAAAUCAACGUGUCACAUCCAAUACGUUAGGACACAACAUAUUGAAUUCCCGAUGACAAGUUUUAUUUUGUUUGAUUAAAGAGCAAUUCUCGAUUGUUAGAUUUAACGAAGAAAAUCGGAACCCAAUACGUUAGGGCUCAAUCUUCUCGAAAAUCCUAAAAAUGAGCAUUAUCUCUAUUUUGAAAAUUUCUAUUUUUAAAUUCGAGUAAAAAGAUGACAUAAUGUUAUGUUGAAUGUAUGAAUAGAUGCCUCUUAAACAAAUAUCAAUAAUAAAUAUAACAAUUGCAUAGAAAUAAUAUGAAUAAAUAAAUAAAAAUAAUGAUACGCAAAAUAUCAAAUAAAUGAGCAAAAUAAUAAUAAUAAUAAUAAUAUGAAAACAUAAAUUGAUAAACAAACUAUUGAAAUAAACAAAAAAAAAAACAUAAAGAAUAAGAGACACAUAACAUAUACAUUGAAAUUAUGGAGAAAAAAAACAAACACAUGAUUUACAUAUAAAAUUUUGAAUUAUAAAAUUUAUAUAAAUAUAUAAUGCAUUUAUGAAAAUAAAGAAAAGUAUAUAAAUAUACAUAUAUACAUAAAUUAUAAAAUAUGUGUUAAAAAUAUAAAUAGGUAGUUAAACGUUUUUUGAAAAUAAAUAAAAAAACAUAGAUGUAUACGCAUAUAUAUAUAAAUAUAAAAGAAUAUUCAUAAAAAAAUGUACACAUGUACAUAUAAAAAAUAUAUAUAGGUUUAAAAUAAUUAAAUAAUAUCUACAUUAUCAAAACUAAUUAAAAAAUAUGUGUAUAUAUAUAAAUAUGCGAAAAAUAUUAGUUAGAAAAAAAGUAUAAAUACGUACAUAACAAUAAAUAUACAUAUAUAUAUAGAUAAAAUAAUAAUAAUUACAUAUGAAAAUUAUAAAAAUAAUAAUAAUAAUUACAUUAUUAAAAUUAACUAAUUUUAAGAAAAAUAUUAAAAAAAAAGACUAAAUUGAACUGCAAGUAAAAAAAUUUGGGGUAAAUCCACAAAUAAAUAAAGCCCAAAGGACUGUAUUGAAUGCGCGUAUAAUCAUGGAGGGACUGGAAGGGCAAAUUUCCCUUUCCCUCUAAACGACGUCAUUCGAUAGGGACCAAAUUGAAUUUUAAAAUAAAUUAAAAGCGAAUUUUAAAAAACAAAAUAAACUUGAUUGCAAAAAUAUUAAAAGGCGGAGGGGCUAAAAGCGCAAUUUACCCCUCCGCUCAAAAACACGCGGAUCCUAGGCCGGGUCGGGUUGGAUUCGGGUCGGCCUCCCCAAAACGACGUCGUUUUAGCGCCUGGGGAGCCUAGUGAAACGACGCCGUUUCGAUAGGCUAUUUAAGCAAAAAAUACUUCAAAAAAUUUUCAUUUUUCAUUCUUUUUAAAAAAAAAACAAAAAAAACUUUCAAAAAAACUCUCCCUUCCCAGCUCGUCCGGCCAGAGGUCCGGUCAUCGGCCACAGCGCAGGCCACCGAUAUCCGGCGCCGGCACCGUCGUCUGCGGUGGCCGAAAAAGGAGAAAAUCUCUUAUUCGGUCCUUUUGAAGCCCCUAACCCAGAUCUGGACCCGAAACCCACGAAACACUGCUGCAAGAGCCUCAAAUCUUCGAGAAACCUUUCGAUUUCCGACCGUUCACGGUGGUUCUGGGCACCACUCAGGUCGUUUCUUUCCCCUUUUUAUUUCAUUCGUAUGUAUAUAAAAAAAUGUAAAACUAACAGUAGAUAAUAAAAAAAUUGUUGAUAUCAACCUUUUAUUCUUCGAUUGAAUCUGUGAUUUUAUUCUCUUGCUCUUGCGUUUGUAAAGAAUGCUUGUCUUUUUAUUGAUUUCGAAUCCGAUCCUUAUUACAGUAUAUUCAAUGGCUUUUUAUAGCCGAAAUAAGAAUAAAAAGAAAUAAAAAAAGAAAAUAUGUUUGAUCUUAUUUGAUCUGCAAAUCUUUGAUUUUCUUUCCUUUUUCUGUUUGUUUCCUUGCAAGUGAAGAUCGCGGAGAUGCGAUGCUUGGCUUGCGGCGCUAUUGAAACCCUAGGGUUUCUGACUGUAAUUUGGGCCACUGUAGUUUGGGCCAUUGUUAUUGUAUUUUUGGUUUGGGUUUUGGGCUCAAAAUACUGUUGUAUUUGGACUGUUUUGCUUCAUGUAGGCCGGGCAAAUUUGGCCAAUUACAUUCCUAGCAUGCUCAUCAACUUCACAAAUGUUCCAGUUAUCUCACUUAGGCAGGUACUCAAACUGUAAACUCUCCAAUGAAGGAAAUGCACUCUAUUCCUACCCAAUUGGCCAACAUUGUACCACAAUAAAAGGUAAUUGUAAGGUCCUUAAGCUUUUUUAGAAGGUUGAAGUCAAUCCAAUACCUUUUUCUCGACUUCUUGUGUUCUAUUCUCAAAGUUUGCACUCCAUUUUCUAGUUUCCCAAGCCUUGCUUAUCAUGUAACUUAGCCAUCCACGCAUCUUGACAUUCAACAACAUUCUGUAAGCCCGAAAUACAAAGUUGUUCUUUAUUUGAUAUCUCACAAAUCCUUUAGCUCCUUUAUUUGAUAUCCCCAGUUUUUACCCAACACAAAAUUGGAUAGUUUCUCCAUCUAUUGCACCAGUGACAUCAAGAUAACAUAGGUUGAGUAGAUUUUCCAUAUUUGAAGGUAGCUUCUCAAGGCUGUGACACUUUUUUAAUAAAAGCUAUAAAGGGUAUUUAUUUACUCGAGCAAUUUUUUAAUCACGGUUUGAGAAAAAUAGAAGUAUAGUAAAUGUUUUAAAUCCCCGAUAAAAUCAAGCAACACUGUGAUAUGAUACCCUCUUAAAGAAAACAUCCUUAACCAUCUCAAAUGUCACAACAAAGCAUAUCUUAUGAUCAUUUCAUAGUCUCAAUGGCAAAAAGCUCCUUAAACGUUGCCCUUUAGAAAUGCCCACAAACCUUGUGAUGCCAUCAUAACAAUUAGCAAAAUAAGAUCAGUAGCCAGCGUGCUUUGAAAUUUGUUGAUUACCCUCGAUCUUGAAGCAUAGUUAUCCAGCAACUGAUUGAGCCAAAUCAUUAUUUGCAAAAGGGACCUUGACACUAAAUCUCUAAAGUACUUGUGACCUACUUCUUCAAUGCCUUGUUUAUCUUGUGCUUCUUACUAGAAAGCCUUGUGCCCUCCAUAACAAGAUUAAGUCUUCCUCAUUGAAUAGCCCUUAAGAAGAAUGGGGUAGUACGCAAAACAUCGCUUCAAAUGCAGAGGAACAUGAUGGUAACUCAAUUGAGGAACUGGAAUUAUACCUGUAAGGCCCAAUAUUUUCCCGGGCCUGUAAACCAAAAAUAAACCAGUAAAAAAAAUAAAAACCUAAAACCAAAUCGGCCCAAAUGGCCCAACACCAGAAAACCCAAAUCAGAAACGGAAAACUCCUAGGGUUUCCAGAAGAUCUAGGCACCGCAGGCUCUACCCUCGCACGAACCGCACCUUCGAGCCGCUCCCCUCACGUGCGCCUCUGUACCCUCUGCAUCUGCCACGCACCCGCGCACCUUUGUACCCGUACCUGCAAAUACACACACACAAGAGCAGCGAAGAAAACAACAGAAAAGAACAAAUAGCAGUAAAAAAUAAGGGAUUUUAAGUUUUUUAUUUUUUUUUCUGGCUAUAUAAAAGCCAAACACGCAUAUUGUAUGAGGUACGCACAUUGAAAUAUAAAAAAAGAAUUAAGAAAAAGAAAGAAAUCAGACUUUGGAGGUGAUUUCGAGUUUUUUCCUUCUUUUCUCUGGUUGUUUUAUUAUUUUCAGAUUCUUUUCUUCUUUUCUUUUUAUCUAUUGCUUGCGAAAGGGAAAUGAAAUGAGGGUAAAAGAUCUUACCUUUGUUGUGAAGCCGAAUCCUCGUCCUCUUCGUCGUAAUCAGAGAUCGGGUGUGGGAUCGGGGGGCCUUUGAGUGGCUGUGUCUGAAACGGCGCAACUUCUAAGGGAAGGGGUUAAGUUUUUUUAGGGCUUAUU